AUAGUCCUGCCAUGAGUGUAGGGGACUGGCACAGAUGACUUCUUGAGGUCUCUUCCAGUCUUAUGAUUCUAUGAUUUAUUAGCCCUAUAACUUGCAGAAUGUUCUGCCCUAAAGACUUUUACAAUCUAAGGCCACAAUUUUGCAAAAGUACAUGAGAGAAAAGAGCAAAAGAUGGCACUUGAGUGAUGAGGCAGACAGUGGAUUUGUGAAAACUGAUAAAGGACAAUGUUUUAGGCAGAAAAUUCAUGCGUUCAGUACCUUAUCCAUUUAAUUUGAGGAAGUAGUGGGACAUCCAUGAGAAGAUGAAACAGGAAGAGAUGGAGAAGUAACAGAGUAUUAAGAGACCAUGGGAACAACUGAGGCUGCGUCGAGGGGGUCGCUAAUGGGAGGAUGGAAGAAAAGCUUGCAGAGGGGAGGAAGCCAAAGACACCUCCCCCAGGGAACAUACACUGGACUAGGAGGAAUGGGAUCUACUCUGAAGAAGUAGGCAGCAGCCUAGGAGAACUAGGAAAGGCCAGAGGAAGCCAGGGUCAGGGGGAUAUAAAAGCUAGACCUGACAGUCCUUCCAGGUCAGGAUGGAGGGAUACUGAUGGAGCAGCAUGGGGAAGCUUGCACUGCCAAUGUCAGCACUGCACCUUCAUUGUGGGUGAACAGAAGACUUUGGUUGCCAGGGCUGUCAAACAAACAUCUUUCAUGAGCACUAAAUGAAUUGUGCGCUUGUUUUAAUGUAAACACCUUUUCACAUCUGCAAUAAUUAAUUAUAUUGGGUUAGAUCCUCAGCUGGUGUAAAUCCUUUAAGACAAUGGAGUAACUCCAGUUUACACCAGCUGAGGAUCUGACCCAUUAUCUCAAUGAUAUAAUUAAAAUAACUAUUUCAGAGAAUAAUCUAAUAAAAUGUUAACUAUGA